CGUAUAUUUAAGUUGUUGCAGUUAAAAAGCUCGUAGUUGGAUUUCGGGUGGGUUUCAGCGGUCCGCCUAUGGUGAGCACUGCUGUGGCCUUCCUUACUGUCGGGGACCUGCUUCUGGGCUUCAUUGUCCGGGACAGGGAUUCGGCAUGGUUACUUUGAGUAAAUUAGAGUGUUCAAAGCAGGCUUACGCCGUGAAUACUUUAGCAUGGAAUAACAUGAUAGGACUCUGCCCUAUUCUGUUGGCCUGUAGGAGUGGAGUAAUGAUUAAGAGGAACAGUCGGGGG
rnacentral:rRNA from 1 species